CCUACGGGAGGCAGCAGUGAGGAAUAUUGGUCAAUGGGGGAGAUCCUGAACCAGCCAAGCCGCGUGAGGGAAGACGGCCCUAUGGGUUGUAAACCUCUUUUGUCGGGGAACAAAACCCGGGACGUGUCCCGGACUGCGUGUAUCCGAAGAAAAAGCAUCGGCUAACUCCGUGCCAGCAGCCGCGGUAAUACGGAGGAUGCGAGCGUUAUCCGGAUUUAUUGGGUUUAAAGGGUGCGCAGGCGGUCCGUUAAGUCAGCGGUAAAAGUGCGGGGCUCAACCCCGGCGAGCCGUUGAAACUGGCUGUCUUGAGUGGGCGAGAGGUAUGCGGAAUGCGCAGUGUAGCGGUGAAAUGCAUAGAGAUUGCGCAGAACUCCGAUUGCGAAGGCAGCAUACCGGCGGCGAACUGACGCUGAGGCACGAAAGCGUGGGGAGCAAACAGGAUUAGAUACCCUUGUAGUC
rnacentral:rRNA from 1 species